rnacentral:lncRNA from 1 species
AAGAAGCGGGCGCGGCCGUGGACCCACAUCGUCCGCUACGUCUCCCUCUACUACCUCGUCAACGUCAUCGGCAACAGGAUCACCAUCGAGGGCUUCCGCCGCCUGGUCGCCGCGGGCGACACCGACCUCGCGGCCCGCGGCCGCGCCACCGGGGGUCAUCGCCGUGGGGAACCUCCUCCGGAUGGCGUCGGCCUCGGCGGCGACGAUCCUGUGGGACACGCGGCUGUGCCAGGAUGUCGUCAUGGUCGAGUUCAUCCUGGAGACCCUGGCCGUGGCCCUAUACGUGCACUUCACCAUGGACGCGUUCGGUUGCUCCUGCCCCUGCCCGCAUCAGUGUUGAUCCCGUACAUCAGUGUAUGUGUCAAAAUCCUA